UACGAAGGGGGGCUAGCGUUGCUCGGAAUCACUGGGCGUAAAGAGCUCGUAGGCGGUUCGUCGCGUCGGCUGUGAAAACCCGGAGCUCAACUCCGGGCCUGCAGUCGAUACGGGCGGACUUGAGUGUUGCAGGGGAGACUGGAAUUCCUGGUGUAGCGGUGAAAUGCGCAGAUAUCAGGAGGAACACCGGUGGCGAAGGCGGUUCUCUGGGCAUGUCCUGACGCUGAGGAGCGAAAGUGUGGGGAGCGAACAGG
rnacentral:rRNA from 1 species